ACAUGCAGUCGACGGUAACAGGAGCAGCUUGCUCUUUUGCUGACGAGUGGCGGACGGGUGAGUAAUGUCUGGGCAACUGCCUGAUGGAGGGGGAUAACUACUGGAACGGUAGCUAAUACCGCAUAACGUCGCAAGACCAAAGCGGGGGACCUUCGGGCCUCUUGCCAUCGGAUGUGCCCAGGAUGGGAUUAGCUAGUAGGUGGGGUAACGGCUCACCUAGGCGACGAUCCCUAGCUGGUCUGAGAGGAUGACCAGCCACACUGGAACUGAGACACGGUCCAGACUCCUACGGGGAGGCAGCAGUGGGGAAUAUUGCACAAAUGGGCGCAAGCUUGAUGCAGCCAUGCCGGUUGUAUGGAGGAGGGCCUUCGGGUUGUAAAGUACUUUCAGCGGGGGAGGAAGGAGUAAAGUUAUAUACUCUUUUGCUCAUUGACGUUACCCCGCAGGAGGAGGCAGCUGGCUUAAUCUCCGUGCCAGCAGCCCGCGUGUAAUAA
rnacentral:rRNA from 1 species